AUCACUAUGCGUAUCUUGGUGGUCGUUACUUUUGGUGUUCUUUCUUUUUGGCUGACUCCUCUUCCUGUUCUAUUGAUCAGAAGCAUCCAGCAGCGCCGCGCCAGUAGAAAGAGUUAAGCUACUAAGCUAGGCUGCUGUUGGGGAACUCGGUAGAAGCGAUUUUCCGCUUCCGCCUCUCUAGGCUUCACAAUGGCUCCCCCCUAUAUAGAUAGAAUUCAAAAUGAGUCUUCUCCCCUCCACUAUAAUUAAUAUAAUACGAAAGGCAUUUU
rnacentral:lncRNA from 1 species